UUCGGCGACGCACCUGUCGGGAAUCGCAAUCACUGGCUUUUUAGGUGCAACUGCAGCAGCGUGCUCGUGUUGGACUAUUCACUUGCAGACCUCCGUGCACUUAGUAGAAGUUCUCUCUCUCUCCUCUUUUUUCCUGUAUUUCCCUCCUCGACGAUUGACUGAUUGACUUUUUGCACUUGUCUCCAGUUAUCGGUAUGGAAUUCAUCUUGAGAAUGUUUUUGUGGAUCCACAUACAGGCGUUGCCAUUUAUGACAACUACAAUGUGUGCCUGAGAGACAAAAAUGCAGACAUCAAGACCUGCAGGGGGGCAACAACCAAAGGUGCCUGCAAAGCAUCACCAGACAGAAAACUCCCGUGC